rnacentral:rRNA from 1 species
AUUGAACGCUGGCGGCAGGCCUAACACAUGCAAGUCGAACGAGUGGCGGACGGGUGAGUAAUGUCUGGGUAACUGCCUGAUGGAGGGGGAUAACUACUGGAAACGGUAGCUAAUACCGCAUACCAUCGGAUGUGCCCAGAUGGGAUUAGCUAGUAGGUGGGGUAAAGGCUCACCUAGGCGACGAUCCCUAGCUGGUCUGAGAGGAUGACCAGCCACACUGGAACUGAGACACGGUCCAGACUCCUACGGUAGGCAGCAGUGGGGAAUAUGGCACAAUGGGCGCAAGCCUGAUGCAGCCAUGCCGCGUGUAUGAAGAAGGCCUUCGGGUUGUAAAGGACUUUCAGCGGGGAGGCGUGACCCGCAGAAGAAGCACCAGCUAACUCCGUGCCAGCCGCCGCGGUAAUUC